rnacentral:rRNA from 1 species
CAGUCGCCACGGGAAUACGAAGGGGGCUAGCGUUGCUCGGAAUUACUGGGCGUAAAGGGAGCGUAGGCGGACAUUUAAGUCAGGGGUGAAAUCCCAGAGCUCAACUCUGGAACUGCCUUUGAUACUGGGUGUCUUGAGUGUGAUAGAGGUAUGUGGAACUCCGAGUGUAGAGGUGAAAUUCGUAGAUAUUCGGAAGAACACCAGUGGCGAAGGCGACAUACUGGAUCAUUACUGACGCUGAGGCUCGAAAGCGUGGGGAGCAAACAGGAUUAGAUACCCCGGUAGUCCCUGUCUCUUAUAC